CAUUCUCUUUGCCUUGCUCACUUGCCAACUUCAUCCUGGUGGAUUUGCUCAGGAACCAUUGGAACCACAGAGAUCUGGUUCUGUCAUGUGAAUACAGCCCCUCCAGGGUUCCACACGCCAUUGAAUGGACCCUGUAGGACUCAGAAGAAUCACUUACGUGUUCAAACUCAGAGAGACAUCCAAGGGCACACUGAGAGAGAGACUCUUUUUGUCUUGAUUUUCUGUGAGGGAAAUUUUCAGGAGUUGGGCAUUUUUAAUUGGUGCGUCCUCAAUUUCUUUUAUCAAGUCCACCUUGUUGAGCUCUUUCACAGCAUUUGUCAGACUGUCCCCAAGGAGUCUCAGCAGGAAUCUGAAUUUCCUUCUCUUCCUCCUCCUGUAAGACUCUGCCUACCAGGGGCCUUUAUGUAGUAAGACCAGCCAGAUGAAGCCAGAAAUUCACAGUCUGAUGACGUAUUUCAAAAAGUGGUUUGGAACAUGUUACUCGUGAUGCUUCCAAGUGUACUCCAAAGUCAAUAAUUGAUGAUCACAUUGCCAGAAGGGAGAGGCAAGAUGAGUGAUAGGCAAAUUAAAGAGAUGUCAAUGUUAGCCUGUCUUUCGAGACUUGCAGCUUUAAUGAAAAGGAGUUUCUUGCAGUAAGAGGGAUCAGAUUUGUGACAUGUAGGGAGGAAGCCUAAAGGAGUUGGUCAGGCAGGUCUCAGUCCCAAAAUAGAGAACUUGCUUUACAUUUUGACCUCUAUGUCAUUCUCUGUGGUGGGAUGC
rnacentral:lncRNA from 1 species